UACGUAGGGACCAAGCGUUGUCCGGAAUCAUUGGGCGUAAAGCGCGUGUAGGCGGCUUUGCAAGUCGGGUGUGAAAGCCCUCAGCUCAACUGAGGAAGUGCGCCCGAAACUGCAGAGCUUGAGUACCGGAGAGGAUGGCGGAAUUCCCCAAGUAGAGGUGAAAUUCGUAGAUAUGGGGAGGAACACCGGUGGCGAAGGCGGCCAUCUGGACGGAUACUGACGCUGAGACGCGAAAGCGUGGGGAGCAAACAGG
rnacentral:rRNA from 1 species